rnacentral:lncRNA from 1 species
GGAAAUUGGGUUUCUUGAUUGAAUGGCUUUGCUGAAGUUUGCACUGUUAGGGAAUAAGAACCAUGGGGACUGAGAUUGCUGAUGGUGGUGGUGUUAUUGGAAGUACUAGAGUCGUAGGCUCCGUUUGGAUCCAUAAAUGAGGAAAGGAGGAAAGGGAAGGAAAUGCUGAAAAAAGCGUGAGAAUUGUGUCCAUUUCUUCAUUAAUUUUCAACAGUUUUUUUCUCUUUUGGAUUAGUUCUGUCCUUCCAAGAAUUCGGCGAAGGAAAAGGUUGGAAAUGCCUAAGAAGGGAAAACAAUUUGAGAAUUUUAUCUAGAAUCUAUAGUAUUUUACCCACAAUUUCUCGAACUACUUCAUUCUCCUAUC